GGGAAUAUGGCUUAGUGGUAGAGUGCUUGUCUAGUAUGCAUGAACCCAGAGCUGUUUUUCCA
rnacentral:tRNA from 1 species